CAGUCGCCGCGGGAAUACGUAGGGGGCGAGCGUUGUCCGAAGUUACUGGGCGUAAAGCGCGCGUAGGCUGUCUCUUAAGUUUGGGGUGGAAGGUUCACGGCUCAACCGGAACAGUGCCUUGAAUACUGGGAGACUUGAGUUUGGCAGAGGAUAGUGGAAUUCCUGGUGUAGCGGUGAAAUGCGUAGAUAUCAGGAGGAACACCCAUGGCGAAGGCAGCUAUCUGGGCUAAAACUGACGCUGAGGUGCGAAAGCGUGGGGAGCGAACGGGAUUAGAUACCCCCGUAGUCCCUGUCUCUUAUA
rnacentral:rRNA from 1 species